GAUCACCAACCCGCCGUUUAAAACAACGAGCAUCAGCGCUGUCGAGCAGCUUCAGUGACCCCUGCCUGUGUCUGGCGCUCUCCGACGGGGUUUGAGGUAAAUCUGUGAGAAUGCCACAGUUAUGCGGCCUCCUCAUCACACUUUUAUUUGUUGAGACAGUUGCUGAAAAAAAGUACUGUUGGUACUAUGAAGGAGAUUAUCCUGUGUACUUUGUAUGCAAAAUAU